rnacentral:tmRNA from 8 species
CCUCUUCCAAUCGCGGUCAACCGCGCCUAUAUACGGCGUGUCAGCGCAAGCUGACUAUGGUGAUAAACGGACGGUGUAAUAAACCCAUUGGACCCGGGGGCGGUACCCGGCGCCUCCACCAGAAUACAGAUCGGCUAGUGGUUUGUAUUGUGGCGGGGGCGAAACAGGAUCGACAAGGGUGUAAAGAUCGCUCUUUUACUCGGCAUGAUACCACCGUUAUCGGGUCAAUUGAGUAGUUGCAAAUGACAACAAAGCUCAGGGUUAUGCUCUCGCUGCCUAAUGGCGGUGCGGGAAACCCACUCUAAAGCCCUUGGGGUUAGCACCUUAAGGCGGGGUUCGGAGGCACCUGGCAACAGAAGCCUCCACU